rnacentral:rRNA from 1 species
UACGUAGGGUGCAAGCGUCGUCCGGAAUUAUUGGGCGUAAAGAGCGUGUAGGCGGCCCGAUUAGUCCGCUGUGAAAGUCCAGGGCUCAACCCUGGAAUGCCGGUGGAUACUGUCGGGCUAGAGUCCGGAAGGGGCGAGUGGAAUUCCUGGUGUAGCGGUGAAAUGCGCAGAUAUCAGGAGGAGCACCAAUGGCGAAGGCAGCUCGCUGGGACGUGACUGACGCUGAGACGCGAAAGCGUGGGGAGCAAACAGG